GGCCCGGUGGCUCAGCUGGUUAGAGCGCCGCCCUGUCACGGCGGAGGUCGACGGUUCGAUCCCGUUCCGGGUCG
rnacentral:tRNA from 7 species